rnacentral:rRNA from 1 species
UCACUUUCAACAACGGAUCUCUUGGCUCUCGCAUCGAUGAAGAACGCAGCGAAAUGCGAUAAGUAGUGUGAAUUGCAUAAUUUUGUGAAUCUUCGAAUCUUUGAACGCAAAUUGCACUCCUGGUAUUCCGGGGAGUAUGCCUGUUUGAGGGUCGUUA